UACGAAGGGUGCAAGCGUUAAUCGGAAUUACUGGGCGUAAAGGGUGCGUAGGCGGUUCGUUAAGUCUGUCGUGAAAUCCCCGGGCUCAACCUGGGAAUGGCGAUGGAUACUGGCGAGCUAGAGUGUGUCAGAGGAUGGUGGAAUUCCCGGUGUAGCGGUGAAAUGCGUAGAGAUCGGGAGGAACAUCAGUGGCGAAGGCGGCCAUCUGGGACAACACUGACGCUGAAGCACGAAAGCGUGGGGAGCGAACGGG
rnacentral:rRNA from 1 species